rnacentral:rRNA from 1 species
GACGAACGCUGGCGGCGUGCUUAACACAUGCAGGUCGAACGGAAAGGCCCUGCUUUUGUGGGGUGCUCGAGUGGCGAACGGGUGAGUAACACGUGAGUAACCUGCCCUUGACUUUGGGAUAACUUCAGGAAACUGGGGCUAAUACCGGAUAGGAGCUCCUGCUGCAUGGUGGGGGUUGGAAAGUUUCGGCGGUUGGGGAUGGACUCGCGGCUUAUCAGCUUGUUGGUGGGGUAGUGGCUUACCAAGGCUUUGACGGGUAGCCGGCCUGAGAGGGUGACCGGCCACAUUGGGACUGAGAUACGGCCCAGACUCCUACGGGAGGCAGCAGUGGGGAAUAUUGCACAUUGGGCGGAAGCCUGAUGCAGCAACGCCGCGUGCGGGAUGACGGCCUUCGGGUUGUAAACCGCUUUCGCCUGUGACGAAGCGUGAGUGACGGUAAUGGGUAAAGAAGCACCGGCUAACUACGUG